AUGUCAGAUGCAAAGCCCUGCACCUCAUUAAGAUCAUAUUGGCAUACUCUCCCAAAAAAAAGAGUAGACCCCAUUGAAGACGAGAGUGAGGUACAACAAGGCCAUUUCUGCCCACCUCCCUUCUCACGGAGCCGUACGUGGACGUUACCGCUCAUACAGCUACUAGCCGGCAAGCAGUCAGCCUCCCUCAAAAAUGGAAGUAUGGAUGAAUCGACAUAAAAUAGAGGUCUCUGCCGAAGUUCAACCGACAUUGACCGCAGAUUGCGAGAACGUGAACUUCAUGCCUUCUAUAGAUUUUUUAGGUCAGUUCGUGCCACUAGAGAGUAUGGAGAUGGCUCCUUCCACCCGGUCCUAG